rnacentral:lncRNA from 1 species
CUCGACUACAAGUGUUGGAGAUCCUUCUCAUCUUCUAACAGGUAUUCAGAAUUGCAUCUCUUCGGAUAUUAAUGCAACCCUAUUGAAAAAAUUUAUGUUAGAGGAGAUUUAUAUUGCAGUGAAGGGAAUGGGUUCAACAAAAGCUCCAGGUUAUGAUGGCUUCCCGGCUCUAUUCUUUCAAAAAUACUGGGAUAUAGUGGGCGAAGAUAUUGGGAAUUUCUGUUUAGAAGUUUUAAAUAAUGGAAAAGACGUGGAAGAGUUAAAUGUAACUAAGAUUACCCUUAUUCCGAAGAAGUCCAAUCCUACAAACCUUGCAGAUUUUAGACCAAUUAGUUUAUGCACAGUUCUUUAUAAAAUUAUUGCUAAAGCCAUUGCCAAUCAUUUUCAAGCCAUUGCCAAUCGUUUUCAAGAAGUCAUCGGGAGAUGCAUUGAUAGUGCUCAAAGUGCAUUUGUCCCAGGUAGGCUAAUUUCGGACAAUAUUUUGAUAGCUUAUGAAAUUCUGCAUACUCUUCGGAAAAAACGUAAGGGGAAGAAAGGUUUUAUGGCAAUUAAGCUUGACAUGAGUAAAGCCUACGAUAGGGUGGAAUGGGCUUUCUUGAAGGAAGUUAUGAUACGGAUGGGUUUUGCGAAGGAAUGGGUGGUACUUAUAAUGAGAUGUAUUUCUACAGUCUCUUAUGUUGUUACUACGAACGGGAGGAAUGGUAGAGUCUUUGAACCAACCAGAGGACUUAGACAGGGUGACCCACUUAGCCCUUUUUCUAUUUCUUAUUUGCAGUGAAGGUUUAUCGUCGUUAAUCAGGAAUGCUACAAAAGAGGGAUUGAUUAAAUGGGUGAGAGCCAGCAGAAGAGGCCCGAUAAUAUCGCACUUGUUAUUCGCAGACGAUUGUAUUUUGUUUGGUGAAGCCACAGAAAGUAGUGCAAGGAACUUCAAAGCUAUUUUGAAAGAAUACGAGAGUUGCUUUGGUCAAUGCGUUAACUUUAAUAAAUCAAUGAUCUUUUUUAGUUCGAAUUUGAAGGAGGGGGAUAAAGGCAGGUUAUCAGCUGAUAUAGGAAUAAGAUUUUCGAACAAUAUGGAAAAAUAUCUUGGAUUGCCAAAUAUUAUAGGCCGGAAGAAAAAAGAAUCGUUUCAGAAUCUCAAAGACAGAAUAAAGCAAAGAAUUGAUAAUUGGAGUACUCGCUUCUUAUCUCAAGGGGGUAGAGAGGUUUUUAUUAAAUCAGUUCUUCAGGCAAUUCCUACUUAUGCUAUGACAUGUUUUCUAUUACCAAAAUCGCUUUGUGAUGAGUUUGACAAUUUAGUUGCUAGAUUUUGGUGGCAGAAAGGGAAAGGAAAGAAAGGAAUUCAUUGGUGUCAAUGGGAAUUUAUGUGUAGGCCUAAAGAAGAGGGUGGUAUGGGCUUCCGGAAUAUGGCACAGUUCAAUGUAGCUCUAUUGGCUAAGCAAGGGUGGAGGAUUAUGAAUAAUCAGAAUGCGCUCGUAACGAAAGUGUUUAAAGCUAAGUAUUUUUCGGAUGAUAAUUUCUUAAAUUCUAGGUUAGGAAAUUCUAGUUCGUAUGUAUGGAAAAGUAUUUGGGCAGCAAAGGACUUAUUGAAAAAAGGGCAUUGUUGGAGGGUGGGGACGGGUACUAAUAUUUGCAUAAGCGAUGCUUGGAUUCCAGAUUCUGUUAAUUUUAGAUUAUCAUCAGAUAUUAAUUUUUUGCGUGAUGUUAAAGUUGGCGAGUUGAUUGAUAAUAAUACCAGAAGUUGGAAAAAAGAGUUGAUUACUAGUACCUUCCUGGAAGACGACGCAGCUAGAAUCCUCAGAAUCCCUCUGGCACAAACACCGCAUGAUGAUUUUCUUAUCUGGGGAGGCGAACGGUCGGGUGAGUUUACGGUCAGAAGUGCCUAUCAACUAUUACAAAAAUUGACUGACAAUCCUAGAGCUUAUGCUUUACAGACCAUCUAUGGGAAUUUUUAUAAAAAAUUAUGGUGCCUGAAUCUACCAGCUAAAAUUAAGGUUACAAUAUGGAAGCUAUCUUGGAAUUAUCUGCCUACAAAGGUGAAUCUUCAACAUCGGAAGUUAGUAGUAAAUCCGAGCUGUCCCCGAUGUAGAGAAGAAGCUGAAACAAUGAACCACUUAUUUCGUUACUGUCAUGUUACAAGGGAGGUAUGGAGAUCAUUAUCGUUUCAGUGCAUUUUAAGGAAUCAUUGUGAAGAUUUUGUACAGUGGAUUACCUGGGCAAUAGAGCAGCUCAACCUUGAUCAAAGUCGCGUAUUUUGUUGUGCACUCUGGGCAAUAUGGGGCGACAGAAACAAAAGAAUACAUGAAGGUAAAAUUAGAAAGGGGACGGAAGUUGCAAAUCUUAUAAUCAGUUACAUCAAAGAAAUUGAUAGUCUUGAGAAGAGAGAUCUGAAUCGUGCCUUAGAGAAAAAGAGAUGGUCGCCACCACAGGAAAGUUUCAUGAAGAUCAACUUUGAUGGCGCAUACGAUAAAGGAAAGAAUCAGUCGGGUGUGGGUAUUGUGGCCAGAGAUUCGAAUGGUACUAUUCUUUUUUCAUACUCAGAGAUUCAUUUUGGUAUUCCAUCAGCCUUUGCUGCUGAAGCAAUUGCCUGCCGGAAAGGCGUUCAAAUGGGAAUCAGGAGGGUAUGGCGACAUUUGAUCCUUGAAGGAGACUCCCUCACAAUAGUCAAAAAAUGUAAAUUGAAGAGUCAAGAUAGAUCUAUGGUGGGAGUAUACAUUUUUGACAUUCAACAGGAAAUCUAUGGACUUGAAAACAUCAGAUUUCAGUAUAUACCUAGAUCCGCAAAUGGUCUUGCUCAUAUCAUAGCAACAGAAUCAUUGAGAAGAGGAGAAGAGUUUUACCUGGAUAGGGGAGUUCCAGAUUAUGCCAUGGAUCAAGCUCGGCUGGAUGGGAGAAGUGAAGAAGAAGUCUCCAGAGAAGAAAAAUGAAGAAUGAAAGGCUUUGAACAAGAAAAUGAAACGGACUGAUUUCUUUUGGCUUACCUUGGAAAUGAAAUCGUCAUUAUGAAGGAGAUGACAGAAAAGACUGAAGACGGUUUCCCAUGCUUCUUCUGAU